GACGAACGCUGGCGGCGUGCUUAACACAUGCAAGUCGAGCGAUGAAGCUCCUUCGGGAGUGGAUUAGCGGCGGACGGGUGAGUAACACGUGGAUAACCUGCCUCAUAGAGGGGAAUAGCCUUCCGAAAGGAAGAUUAAUACCGCAUAAGAUUGUAGUUCCGCAUGGAACAGCAAUUAAAGGAGUAAUCCGCUAUGAGAUGGACCCGCGUCGCAUUAGCUAGUUGGUGAGGUAACGGCUCACCAAGGCGACGAUGCGUAGCCGACCUGAGAGGGUGAUCGGCCACAUUGGGACUGAGACACGGCCCAGACUCCUACGGGAGGCAGCAGUGGGGAAUAUUGCACAAUGGGGGAAACCCUGAUGCAGCAACGCCGCGUGAGUGAUGACGGUCUUCGGAUUGUAAAACUCUGUCUUUGGGGACGAUAAUGACGGUACCCAAGGAGGAAGCCACGGCUAACUACGUGCCAGCAGCCGCGGUAAGAC
rnacentral:rRNA from 1 species